CCUACGGGAGGCAGCAGUGGGGAAUAUUGGACAAUGGGCGCAAGCCUGAUCCAGCCAUGCCGCGUGAGUGAAGAAGGCCUUAGGGUUGUAAAGCUCUUUCACCCGCGAAGAUGAUGACGGUAGCGGGAGAAGAAGCCCCGGCUAACUACGUGCCAGCAGCCGCGGU
rnacentral:rRNA from 1 species